rnacentral:rRNA from 1 species
CGGGUGAGUAUGCCUAGGAAUCUGCCUGGUAGUGGGGGAUAACGCUCGGAAACGGACGCUAAUACCGCAUACGUCCUACGGGAGAAAGCAGGGGACCUUCGGGCCUUGCGCUAUCAGAUGAGCCUAGGUCGGAUUAGCUAGUUGGUGAGGUAAUGGCUCACCAAGGCGACGAUCCGUAACUGGUCUGAGAGGAUGAUCAGUCACACUGGAACUGAGACACGGUCCAGACUCCUACGGGAGGCAGCAGUGGGGAAUAUUGGACAAUGGGCGAAAGCCUGAUCCAGCCAUGCCGCGUGUGUGAAGAAGGUCUUCGGAUUGUAAAGCACUUUAAGUUGGGAGGAAGGGCAGUUACCUAAUACGUAUCUGUUUUGACGUUACCGACAGAAUAAGCACCGGCUAACUCUGUGCCAGCAGCCGCGGUAAUACAGAGGGUGCAAGCGUUAAUCGGAAUUACUGGGCGUAAAGCGCGCGUAGGUGGUUCGUUAAGUUGGAUGUGAAAUCCCCGGGCUCAACCUGGGAACUGCAUUCAAAACUGACGAGCUAGAGUAUGGUAGAGGGUGGUGGAAUUUCCUGUGUAGCGGUGAAAUGCGUAGAUAUAGGAAAGGAACACCAGUGGCGAA